rnacentral:rRNA from 1 species
UACAGAGGGGGCAAGCGUUAUUCGGAAUUAUUGGGCGUAAAGGGCGCGUAGGCGGCCUGGCAAGUGGAAGGUGAAAUCCCUCGGCUUAACCGAGGAACUGCCCUCCAAACUGCUUGGCUUGAGACCGGGAGAGGUGAGUGGAAUUCCCAGUGUAGCGGUGAAAUGCGCAGAUAUCAGGAAGAACACCCGUGGCGAAGGCGGCUCUCUGGGACGGUACUGACGCUGAGACGCGAAAGCGUGGGGAGCGAACAGG